rnacentral:rRNA from 1 species
UGCAGUCGAGCGAAUGGAUUAAGAGCUUGCUCUUAUGAAGUUAGCGGCGGACGGGUGAGUAACACGUGGGUAACCUGCCCAUAAGACUGGGAUAACUCCGGGAAACCGGGGCUAAUACCGGAUAACAUUUUGAACCGCAUGGUUCGAAAUUGAAAGGCGGCUUCGGCUGUCACUUAUGGAUGGACCCGCGUCGCAUUAGCUAGUUGGUGAGGUAACGGCUCACCAAGGCAACGAUGCGUAGCCGACCUGAGAGGGUGAUCGGCCACACUGGGACUGAGACACGGCCCAGACUCCUACGGGAGGCAGCAGUAGGGAAUCUUCCGCAAUGGACGAAAGUCUGACGGAGCAACGCCGCGUGAGUGAUGAAGGCUUUCGGGUCGUAAAACUCUGUUGUUAGGGAAGAACAAGUGCUAGUUGAAUAAGCUGGCACCUUGACGGUACCUAACCAGAAAGCCACGGCUAACUACGUGCCAGCAGCCGCGGUAAUACGUAGGUGGCAAGCGUUAUCCGGAAUUAUUGGGCGUAAAGCGCGCGCAUGUGGUUUCUUAAGUCUGAUGUGAAAGCCCACGGCUCAACCGUGGAGGGUCAUUGGAAACUGGGAGACUUGAGUGCAGAGGAGGAAAGUGGAAUUCCAUGUGUAGCGAUGAA